GUACACGCUGUGACUAGCAUAUCAAUAAGCGGAGGAAAAGAAACUAACAAGGAUUCCCUUAGUAACGGCGAGUGAAGCGGGAAGAGCUCAAAUUUGAAAUCUUGAAAGGUCACCUUUCACGAAUUGUAGUUUAAAGAAGUGUUUUCUGUUACGAUCGUAAUAUAAGUUCUUUGGAAUAGGACAUCACAGAGGGUGAGAAUCCCGUCUAUGAUUGCGAUUUGUAGCUUUGUGAUACACUUUCAAAGAGUCGGGUUGUUUGGGAAUGCAGCCCAAAACGGGAGGUAAAUUUCUUCUAAGGCUAAAUAUUGGCGAGAGACCGAUAGCGUACAAGUACCGUGAGGGAAAGAUGAAAAGAACUUUGAAAAGAGAGUUAAAUAGUACGUGAAAUUGUCAAAAGGGAAGCGUUUAACACCAGUGUUGUUUUCUGAAAAUCAACCUCUGUUAGCUUUAUGCAUGUUUGUUUAGACCUAAUCAGCUAUCUUGCAUGUUCUAUUGUUUGCAGUGGUGCACUUUUCAGUUUACAGGUCAACAUCAGUUUUUUUUACCGUAAAAAAGUUAAAGAAAGGUAGCUCAUGGCUCCGGUCGUGAGUGUUAUAGUCUUUUUCCUAUGCGGUAGGAGAGACUGAGGUCUGCAGUGUAGGCUAUUUGGCUAGAUACUCAGGUGCUAUGUGAUACCAUUUCAUAAACAACUUGUUGAUUAUGUUUUGUCUAUUGCAUACUCGCUUGUACUAUCAUACCUACGCUUAGGAUGUUGAGUAGCGACAUACGCAC
rnacentral:rRNA from 1 species